CGUCGCGUCGCGAAACGAGGAAGGCCGCUCGCGCAGGCGCAAUUCUGACGGCUGUCGUUGAGCACCUGCGGGCGCGCAUCUCCGCCAGGAAUGAGAGUUGGCAAUUGGGAGAAGUGCUAAGAAGAGCAAUAUGGCCGCUCCUCCCUUCAUAGAAGUCUUUUGGAUCCAGCCUCCCAAAGUCCCCAAGAUAUACACAAACUGUCAUGCUGGGCAACAGGAGUAGUUUCAUAGACUGGUAACACUGCCCAGGUUCCAGACUUCCAGUGAGCAGCCUUGGGAGACGAACUACCAGCUCUCUGGUCUAUGGUUGCAAACAAAACAAUCUAGUGUUACUAUAUGUGCAUAUUUAACUAGUUUCGAAAAUUAAGGCAUUACUAAGAUACAAAGUUAAAACUUAAAAAAUGACCCAAUGGGCCGGGCACCGUGCCUCACACCUGUAAUCCCAGCACUUUGGGAGGCUGAGGCUGGCGGAUCACAAGGUCAGGAGUUUGAGACCAGCCUGGCCAAUAUGGUGAA